AAGAUUUUAAGUUAAAUAAACUAAUAUCCUUCAAAGAUAUAUAUAAAUGUAAAAUCAUCUAAAUCUUA
rnacentral:tRNA from 2 species